UGUGGCAGACCUUCCCAGUGGGUGGAAGGGAACCAGACGCCCUACCCCCACUCUUGGGAACCUGUGAUGAUGGGGCAAGUAAGCUCCGGGGUGGAGAGUAGAUCUACUUCACAGCCUUGGAUUUAUUUGAAAACUGGAAAUCACGGUGCUGAUGUAACCAGGGGAACGCAUCCAGUGUCCCAGGGGCUGGCCUCUCAUCCGUGAGUCUACACAACCAACUAAAGAUGUAAACUCCUUGAAGAAACUGGAAUAGAUCAGGACUCCUGUCUCCAGUCCCACACUGCCCUCACUGGAUUUUGUAUGAGAAAUCAGCUCUCCUGGGUCAUCGAGGAACACCAAGUCUCCCUCUUCCAUCAUGUGACUCUGAAGAAUCCAUUAUUGUCCCUUAAACCAAGAAGCCCCAGAGUAUCCAAAUGUCAAGAGUGGAACAAAACAGAAGCAAUAAUCUGGGGGUGGAGGCCCAGUCCCAGCUCCAACUUAAGUGAAAGGAGAAUGGAAAAGUUAUGAUGGUGUCCAGCUUGGAAACUACAAGUGGAAAAGCUCUGCAAGCUGAUGAUAAGAGUCAACAAAGAACAUCACAAACUACUUUCCCUGAUGGAAAUAAAUGCAAAACUUUUAAUAAAAUAUGUGCAAAUUGAAUUUAAAACCACAUUAAGAUCAUACACUAUAAUCAAGUUGAUUUCAUCCCAGGGAUGCAAGAUUUGUUCAACAUAGUUCAAUAAAUGGAUAACACACAAUAGGCUUAAGCACAGAAAUCACAUCAUCAUGCUUACCACUACUAUAAAUAUCCUAUUACUUAUCUUGAGUAAGACCCUUCAUUUCUCUUCUUCAUCAUCCCAUCUUUGAUCAGGUGGAUUACUGAUACUAACGUCUGAAAGUAACUGAGAAUCCUUUAGUUCAAUCUUCCAUUUGUUGGUAAGGAAACUGCAAAUUAGCAAGCUCUAGAGCCCCCCUCCCUCACCUCAGAGCCAGCAGAAGCCACACCUCCAAUUAUGUUCCAGGACUUCUCAACCUCACCAAGAUGUUCCUUAAGACGUGAUUUCUUCAUUUUCUCUUUUUUUAACCCCAAGGCUAGUUUUCCCAUCAGCACUGUUAAUAUACUAUGGAAACAAGCCUGGUAUGCCACGGUGUUGUGGCUUUGCUAAGCAGCAACCUCCUUUGAGCCACUUUCUCUUUUAAGAGUGGCAAGUCUACUUGGCUCUCCUCCAAGGGUAACCCAGUGGGGUACCCAACAGACAGUGCUCAGUCUAUGCAUUAAGCUUGCUAGCAUGUAGAACAAAGAAGCACGGCCUUCUAACAAACACCAAUGAUUGUGUUAAAUGAUCUCCUGUGCAGGUCUUUGCAAACAGUUGAGGCAAUGCCAGCCUUUGCCUCUUUUAUAUCCACUGGCUCCAGGAAAGGGAAGGAAAUGAAGUGGCAUUGAUACAUUCAAAUCCCAAAUUUGUUCUUGUUGUCAGACCAUCAGAUGGUUGCUCAUCUGUGGAUGUUAGCUUUGAGUCCUUAGAUGUGUGUGUGUCCUGCCUGUUAGAGACUGUCCUCUGAGCCUAGUCAGAUGCCCCCCUCUGUAGCUGCUUCUGGUUACAGCUUUUACUUUUUCUCCAGCCUUAUCCUAGAAGCAGCUUACUUUGUUGUCUCAGGACUCCCCUGCUUAGGUGAAGAGCCCACCAAAGGUCGUCUGCCAUCAGAUUAACUCGGUUUCCUCAGAGACAUGGCUGCAUCUGCUCAAUUCUUUUAGUCAUGUAAGAUAAUCAUUUGUGGGAGUGAUGGUCCAUGUUAUUUACAGGCUCCACACAUACAUACAGAAGAGUCACACAGAGCACGUACAGCAUAGGGCAGAACUCUUUGUACCGUCUUCAAAAUUCUGACUAUCAAAAUGUGUGUAUAUUUUAGCUUCCCUUCAAACUCAUAAGCUUCUUCAUAGAGUGGAUAAGAACUGAAUUAAUGAAACAACUCAUGGAAAUGAGUUUCCAGGUUUUAAGUGUCUCUAGUUUAUAUCAGUUUAUGUUGAGACACUCUGACAUAAACUGUAAUUAAGCAUAGGUCUCCAUAAAUAAAAGGUAGUUUGCAGCAAUGAUUUGUCAAUAUGACUGACACUUUUAGGAAGUGAAAUUAUAUAAAGCCAGCAUAAUGACUAAUUCUGUCUCCAAGAUAGCCUAUUCACCAAGAAUUUAUGGGUUAACAACCUCGUGUGAACUGAACAACCUCUGAGAUUUUAUGGAGUACCAAGUUAGACAUCAUCUUUUUUCUCAAGAAGCUCGCAAAGUAGUGUUGGGGAAUGCUAUAAAACAGAACAAGUAUUACACAAUACCAGACAGGAUUAGUGAUGUCUUCAGCUAACCCGAGGGAUG